rnacentral:rRNA from 1 species
UACGAAGGGGGCUAGCGUUGCUCGGAAUCACUGGGCGUAAAGGGCGCGUAGGCGGCGUUUUAAGUCGGGGGUGAAAGCCUGUGGCUCAACCACAGAAUUGCCUUCGAUACUGGGACGCUUGAGUGUGGUAGAGGUUGGUGGAACUGCGAGUGUAGAGGUGAAAUUCGUAGAUAUCGAGAGGAACACCAGUGGCGAAGGCGGCUAUCUGGACGGUUUCUGACACUAAGACUCGAAAGCGUGGGGAGCAAACAGG